rnacentral:rRNA from 1 species
UACGUAGGGGGCAAGCGUUGUCCGGAUUUAUUGGGCUUAAAGGGUGCGUAGGCGGUCUAUUAAGUCAGUGGUGAAAUACUCCAGCUUAACUGGAGGGGUGCCAUUGAUACUGAUGGACUUGAGUCAAGUCGAGGUAGGCGGAAUUGACGGUGUAGCGGUGAAAUGCUUAGAUAUCGUCAAGAACACCAAUAGUGAAGACAGCUUACUGGGCUUAAACUGACGCUGAGGCACGAAAGUGUGGGGAGCAAACAGG